rnacentral:rRNA from 1 species
CUACGGGGUGCUCCAGUGGGGAAUUUUGCGCAAUGGGGGAAACCCUGACGCAGCAAUACCGCGUGAGUGAAGAAGGCCUUUGGGUCGUAAAGCUCUUUUCUUGGGGAAGAUAGUGACGGUACCCAAGGAAUAAGCACCGGCUAACUCCGUGCCAGCAGCCGCGGUAAUACGGAGGGUGCAAGCGUUGUUCGGAUUUACUGGGCGUAAAGGGCGCGUAGGCGGCACAGCAAGUUAAGGGUGAAAUCCCGGGGCUCAACUCCGGAACUGCUCUUAAAACUGCUGAGCUAGAGAUAGUCAGAGGCGGGUGGAAUUCCAGGUGUAGAGGUGAAAUUCGUAGAUAUCUGGAGGAACACCGGUGGCGAAGGCGGCCCGCUGGGGCUAUUCUGACGCUAAGGUGCGAAAGCGUGGGGAGCAAACGGGAUUAGAUACCCCGGUAGUC